rnacentral:tRNA from 1 species
AUUAAUUUGGCAGAAUAAAGUGCUUUAAGUUUAGAAUUUAAAUAUGUAAAUAUAUUUACAAUUAAUA